rnacentral:rRNA from 1 species
UAAAACCAGCACCUCGAGUGGUCAGGAGGUUUAUUGGGCCUAAAGCAUCCGUAGCCGGUUGCAUAAGUUUUCGGUUAAAUCUAUGCGCUUAACGUAUAGGCCGCCGAAAAUACUGUGCAGCUAGGGAGUGGGAGAGGUACACGGUACUCGAUAGGAAGGGGUAAAAUCCUUUGAUCUAUUGAUGACCACCUGUGGCGAAGGCGGUGUACCAGAACACGUUCGACGGUGAGGGAUGAAAGCUGGGGGAGCAAACCGG